GACGAACGCUGGCGGCGUGCUUAACACAUGCAAGUCGAACGGAGUGGCGAACGGGUGAGUAACACGUGGGUGACCUGCCCUGCACUUCGGGAUAAGCCUGGGAAACUGGGUCUAAUACCGGAUAGUGUGGGCUGGGCCCGCGGCCUAUCAGCUUGUUGGUGGGGUAAUGGCCUACCAAGGCGGCGACGGGUGGCCGGCCUGGGAGGGUGGACGGCCACAUUGGGACUGAGGCACGGCCCAGACGCGUACGGGCGGCAGCAGUGGGGAAUAUUGCACAAUGGGCGGAAGCCUGAGGAAGCGACGCCGCGUGGGGGAUGACGGCCUUUGGGUGGUAAACUCCUUUCACCAUAGACGCGGUAGCUGGAGAAGAAGCACCGGCUAACUACGUGCCAGCAGCCGCGGUAAUAC
rnacentral:rRNA from 1 species